CAUGCAAGUCGAACGGUGAAGUCCAGCUUGCNUGGAACAGUGGCGAAAGGGUGAGUAACGCGUGAGUAACCUACCCCUAAGUUUGGGAUAACGGCCUGAAAGGCUAAUACCAGAUGUGAACCGGGCCCGCAUGUGCCCGAGUUUAAAGAUUUAUCGUUUAGGGACGGACUCGCGUUCCAUUAGCUGGUUGGUGAGGUAACGGCCCACCAAGGCGAUGACGGAUAUCUGGUCUGAGAGGAUGGCCAGCCACACUGGGACUGAGACACUGCCCAGACUCCUACGGGAGGCUGCAGUCGAGAAUCUUCCGCAAUGCGCGAAAGUCGACGGAGCAAUGCCGCGUGCGGAUGAAGGCCUUCGGGUCGUAAACCGCUGUCACUGGGAACGAAAACAAUGACGGUACCCAGAGAGGAAGCCACGGCUAACUACGUGCCAGCAGCCGCGGUAAUACGUAGGUGGCGAGCGUUGUUCGGAUUUAUUGGGCGUAAAGGGUCCGUAGGGGGCCUGGCAAGUCUGACGUGAAAGCCCGGGGCUCAACCCCGAAUGGCGUUGGAAACUGCGCGGGCUGGAGUGUCGUAGAGGAAAGCGGAAUUCCUGGUGUAGCGGUGGAAUGCGUAGAUAUCAGGAAGAACACCGAGAGCGAAGGCAGCUUUCUGGGCGACAACUGAUCCUGAAGGACGAAAGCGUGGGGAGCAAACAGGAUUAGAUACCCUGGUAGUCCACGCCGUAAACGUUGCGCGCUUGGUCUGGGAGGGCUCAACCCCUUCCGGAUCGGAGCUAACGCGCUAAGCGCGCCGCCUGGGGACUACGGCCGCAMGKMWAAAACUCAAAGGAAUUGACGGGGGCCCGCACAAGNNGUGGAGCAUGUGGCUUAAUUCGAGGCAACGCGAAGAACCUUACCUAGGCUUGACACGCGCUGGAAGAUUCUGGAGACAGGAUUGCUUCGGGGCCGGCGCGCAGGUGCUGCAUGGCUGUCGUCAGCUCGUGUCGUGAGAUGUUCGGUUAAGUCCGGCAACGAGCGCAACCCGUGUCGUUAGUUGCUACCAGAUAAUGCUGGGCACUCUAACGAGACUGCCCGUGUUAAGCGGGAGGAAGGCGCGGACGACGUCAAGUCCGUAUGGCCCUUAUGCCCAGGGCUGCACACGUGCUACAAUGACCGGUACAAUGGGACGCGAGGGCCGAGGCGGAGCAAAUCCAGAAAACCGGUCCCAGUUCGGAUGCGGUCUGCAACUCGACCGCGUGAAGUCGGAAUCGCUAGUAAAGGCGUAUCAGCAACGACGCCUUGAAUACGUUCCCGGGCCUUGUACACACCGCCCGUCACAUCAUGGGAGCUGAUUGCACCCGAAGUCGCCGGCCUAACCCGCAAGGGAUGGAGGCGCCGAAGGUGUGGUCAGUGACUGGGAUGAAGUCGUAACAAGGUAACC
rnacentral:rRNA from 1 species